rnacentral:rRNA from 1 species
UACGUAGGGGGCAAGCGUUGUCCGGAAUUACUGGGCGUAAAGCGCGUGUAGGCUGCUCCGAAAGUCGGAUGUGAAAGCCCUGGGCUCAACCUAGGAAGUGCAUUCGAUACUGUGGAGCUGGAGUCCUGGAGAGGAAGGCGGAAUUCUGGGUGUAGAGGUGAAAUUCGUAGAUAUCGAGAGGAACACCGGUGGCGAAGGCGGCCUUCUGGACAGUGACUGACGCUGAGACGCGAAAGCGUGGGGAGCAAACAGG